AUUCACAUAGGGUGAAUUUUAUGCGGAAGUUCAACCGCGUAGUGGGUUAGAACCCACAUUUUCAAGGAGAAAACAAAAUG
rnacentral:ncRNA from 1 species